CAGGGUGUGGGGGGCAGGCGGUGGACUGACCCUCACGAAGGCCCUGUUCCAGCUCGGCCCAGGCAUGGGGAGGACCCGCACUCAGCUCUGGCCUGUGGCUGGAUGCCCUGGGCCGGCAGCAAGAUGGUCCGGAGCUCAGGGAGAGGUCAAGUGGGACGGAUGCGGGGGUGAUCAGGGCACAGUGGAAAGCAGACACCAUGAGAGGAGGCAGUCACAUGUCCCAGGAGGGGGUGAUAAGGGACUGAGCGGAGACUCAGGACUAAAUGAGAACCCCAGGUUGAUGCCGGCGGGGCCUACGGAUGGACAGACUGGUGAGCAACUGCACCCCCGCGAGCUGCUUUUGGAACCCAGCAGAACCCUGUACCCCUCCUUCCCCUGACACACACAGACAAAGGCCCCUCCACACCCCCUGCCUCUCUCUGUAGAAAAGCUGAGUCUCCCAGGCCUCCCAGAGUCACAAAGGAGUAGUUCCAGCAGCUAAUGACUACUACAUAGUCAUGGACUCAGUGUUGACACAUGACUAAAAUCGUCAGCAAAGAGAUGCUACACACCCAGGUCAAUAGCUUCCACUCUGAGAGUAUGGCGCCCUCUGUCAACAUGCAGGGCUUCCCUGACAGCUCAGUUGGUAAAGAAUCCACCUGCAAUGCAGGAGACCCUGGAUACUCACUAAAGGGGCAGGGGAUGGCCGGGGGUCGGGUCACUUGCCCACAGCCUGUCAUGUCCACUCCCUCCGCCCUCCCUCCCAACCCACAUGCUCUAUCUCCGCCCCACCCCAAAUAAUGCCCACCAACCCUGUCCCCACCCCGCCCCACCACACACAAACACACACAGAGCUGUCCUGACUCACAUGCAGCUGAAGGGCGCUGUCCACGGUGCUGACUUUCAGCUGCCUGGCCCUGCCUCGUGUGGCCUCAGGAAGCGCCCAUGGGAACUUCUGCCUGUUUGGAAAUAAAUCACCUGCUUGGGAACUUACCUCAAACACAAGAACUGCGACAGAGAGAGGAGAGGUCUGGCCCUGCUGAGCUCCUGCCACGGGGACACCACUUCUCCUUGCCCUCCCCUGCUGGGCCAGGCAGUGGGGAGGGGGCCCAGCAGCCGGGGCUCCAUGUGAGCAGCCUGCCGCCUUGCAUGCCUGGGAGGCUCUCAUGGUCCUCAACCCUCGGAUUCCUCUGUGCACAGAGCUCCCCAGACAAGAUGGUCCUUCAGUUCUCACCGUCUGCGUCCUUAUGGGAUUCCUUCAACAACUUCACUACUGAAUGUUCGCGGUUUUACCUCGAGUUUUCCCCCAAUCUGUCUCUACAUCUUGGCGGGGCAGUGAUCGCCCUGGCUGUCCCCACUGUGCUACAAGCAGCAAGCAUGGCCUGA
rnacentral:lncRNA from 1 species